GACGAACGCUGGCGGCGUGCUUAACACAUGCAAGUCGAACGAUGAAGCCGGAGCUUGCUCUGGUGAAUUAGUGGCGAACGGGUGAGUAACACGUGAGUAACCUGCCCUUGACUCUGGGAUAACUGCGGGAAACUGUAGCUAAUACCGGAUACGACCCUCGGAGGCAUCUCCUGGGGGUGGAAAGAAUUUCGGUCAAGGAUGGACUCGCGGCCCAUCAGCUAGUUGGUGAGGUAAAGGCUCACCAAGGCGACGACGGGUAGCCGGCCUGAGAGGGUGACCGGCCACACUGGGACUGAGACACGGCCCAGACUCCUACGGGAGGCAGCAGUGGGGAAUAUUGCACAAUGGGCGCAAGCCUGAUGCAGCAACGCCGCGUGAGGGAUGACGGCCUUCGGGUUGUAAACCUCUUUUAGCAGGGAAGAAGCGAAAGUGACGGUACCUGCAGAGAUAGCACCGGCUAACUACGUGCCAGCCGCCGGGGUAA
rnacentral:rRNA from 1 species